UACAGAGGGGGCAAGCGUUGUUCGGAAUUACUGAGCGUAAAGGGCGCGUAGGCGGCCUGUUAAGUCGAACGUGAAAUCCCCGGGCUCAACCCGGGAACUGCGUCCGAUACUGGCAGGCUUGAAUCCGGGAGAGGGAUGCGGAAUUCCAGGUGUAGCGGUGAAAUGCGUAGAUAUCUGGAGGAACACCGGUGGCGAAGGCGGCAUCCUGGACCGGCAUUGACGCUGAGGCGCGAAAGCCAGGGGAGCAAACGGG
rnacentral:rRNA from 1 species